rnacentral:other from 1 species
AGUAACCUGCUGUGUGCGUGAUGUCGCAACACGUUUUGGACCAACACCCUGACAUAUGGGGGUCUAAAUCGCGGGAAUAAUGUCCGACUUCGGUCACGACAGAGUUGCCGGCGCGAUCCCCGACCUGCGAAAGCAGGUUCAAAACCACGCGAUCACACGGCAUGGCGGGUAGCAA